rnacentral:rRNA from 1 species
CUUAGUUGGAACUGCCGAGGGGGAGGGAACUCUCGGACAGUUCGGGGUCUCGUGAGUUUGGUGCAAACUCAUUCCCCUUGUAUUGUCUUUUUAUGCGAAACUAGACAGUCAAAAGAAAAAAUGAAAAGAUAUCGCUCUCGAUUAGGCUUGAGUGGUUUCUGUGCAGUUGAUAGCAAUGGUCUUAGUGGAGGUCUCGAACUAUAUUGGCACGAAUCUGUGCAAAUUGAUGUAAAAGAUAUGAAUGAACGAUACAUUGAUGCGUAUGUCACUUCUGUAACAGGUGAGCCACCUUGGAGGCUCACUUGCUUCUACGGCGAGCCCUGGACGGAGCACCGACACCACAUGUGGUCGCUCCUUCGGGUAGACAUGCCAUGGGCGGUGAUUGGCGACUUCAACGAGGCCAUGUGGGGCUUCGAGCACGAUGAUUGA